UACGUAGGGUGCAAGCGUUAAUCGGAAUUACUGGGCGUAAAGCGUGCGCAGGCGGUUCGUUGUGUCCGAUGUGAAAGCCCCGGGCUUAACCUGGGAAUGGCAUUGGAAACUGGCGAGCUUGAGUGCGGCAGAGGGGGGUGGAAUUCCGCGUGUAGCAGUGAAAUGCGUAGAGAUGCGGAGGAACACCGAUGGCGAAGGCAGCCCCCUGGGUCGACACUGACGCUCAGGCACGAAAGCGUGGGGAGCAAACAGG
rnacentral:rRNA from 1 species